rnacentral:rRNA from 1 species
UACGUAGGUGGCAAGCGUUAUCCGGAUUUAUUGGGCGUAAAGGGAACGCAGGCGGUCUUUUAAGUCUGAUGUGAAAGCCUUCGGCUUAACCGGAGUAGUGCAUUGGAAACUGGGGCACUUGAGUGCAGAAGAGGAGAGUGGAACUCCGUGUGUAGCGGUGAAAUGCGUAGAUAUAUGGAAGAACACCAGUGGCGAAAGCGGCUCUCUGGUCUGUAACUGACGCUGAGGUUCGAAAGCGUGGGUAGCAAACAGG